rnacentral:rRNA from 1 species
CCUACGGGGGGCAGCAGUAGGGAAUCUUCCACAAUGGGCGAAAGCCUGAUGGCGCAACGCCGCGUGGGUGAAGAAGGUCUUCGGAUCGUAAAACCCUGUUGUUAGAGAAGAAAGUGCGUGAGAGUAACUGUUCACGUUUCGACGGUAUCUAACCAGACAGCCACGGCUAACUACGUGACAGCAGCCGCGGUAAUACGUAGGUGGCAAGCGUUAUCCGGAUUUAUUGGGCGUAAAGGGAACGCAGGCGGGCUUUUAAGCUUGAUGUGAAAGCCUUCGGCUUAACCGGAGUAGUGCAUUGGAAACUGGGAGACUUGAGUGCAGAAGAGGAGAGUGGAACUCCAGGUGUAGCGGUGAAAUGCGUAGAUAUAUGGAAGAACACCAGUGGCGAAAGCGGCUCUCUGGUCUGUAACUGACGCUGAGGUUCGAAAGCGUGGGUAGCAAACAGGAUUAGAUACCCCAGUAGUC